GAACUGUGAGAAAUAAAAACUGUAAGACCUACGAGAGGAGAUUUAAACUGGAUUUCAACUAAGGACCAGAGGAGGACACUGAAAGGAAAACAGAUGUGGACAGGGCAUAUGGAGUGUGAGUCUGCAGAUUAUUUUUUUUUUGAUACACAGUGUUUUUUGAAAGAGAAACAUACUAUGGGUAUUUAGACAGGGAACUUUAAGUCAGUCAAGAGCUCAAACUACAAUUCAGGCUUUCUUGAAGUUUAAUUUAUUUUUCUCCAAAUAUUUGGGUAUUACAAUAAACACUGUUAAACUGUCAGACUGACUGUGCUGUGGGCCAGGCCACACCUAUAUAGGUGCCCAUCUGAUGUCUGUGCCCCCUGUGGCAUCACAGCACGUACAGAUGAAAGCAGGAAGCCGGGUUUUUCAAUGGUCUGUUCUGUUCUCUCUUCAGGCUUUUCUUCAAUACAUGUGGGGGCACUGGUCUUGGCCUUUUCUUUACCAGUACUUUUGAUUCUAAUGUUGAUUGGCUACUGUUUUGAUAAAGAUGAGCUUGUUAGGACCUUCCUCAUUGCUUCUAAUGUCGUAUUGUCUAUUUCAUUUGUCCUCUGGGGUGUAACUGAAGGGUCUUUGGAAGAAGUGAUCAUGUGUGUGACUGUUAAUCUUCUGAGGAUUGUACCAGUUCUGGCUUUUUUCAAUGUGGAGAAAUCAGUUUUCAUCGGUUUCUCAAUAAUUCGUUUUGUUGUGUUAACUGAGAUGUGGUCUGUUGCUCUGUGGGAGUACUUCAAGAGCCACACACCAGACACAGGUGUUAGAGCAGGUAUUGGACUGGCCUGUGCCUCAUCACUGCUCUCCUCUCUCUGCGGGGUUUAUAUUGAAGGUAAGAACAGCUGCUUUCUCAGAUCCAGGAGAGAGAGAUUCGGUGUGAAGAGCUCAGAUCUAGCCUCUCUCCUUGCUAGGUUUCAGUUCUGGAACACAUGGAGCGAUGUGAUGGAGAUACAGUAGAGAAAGAAUCCCAGACUGCACUGGGAGGGAUGAGAACAGACUCUCCCAAUCUCUCUCCGACAGACACUCGAUAAGAACAAGGAGUUUUCUA
rnacentral:lncRNA from 1 species